CCAUGCAUUGCUGUGUCCUCGUGCAUGGCGUCGCCAUGCAUUGCUGUGUCCUCGUGCAUGGCAUCGCCAUGCAUUGCUGUGUCCUCGUGCAUGGCGUCCCCAUGCAUUGCUGUGUCCUCGUGCAUGUCGUCCCCAUGCAUUGCUGUGUCCAUGCGUGUCACAUCCCUGUGCACCUCCGUGUCUGCAUGAGUCACGUCCCCAUGCAUCAUCACAUCCCCAUGCAUUGCUGUGUGUGUGUGUCACAUCCUCCUGCAUUGCAUUUCAAUGCAUCACCGUCCCCAUGCAUCGCCAUCCCCAUGCAUUGCUCUGUGUGUCACAUCCUCCUGCAUUGCAUCCCCAUGCAUCACAUCCCCAUGCAUUGCAGUGGGUGUGUGUCACAUCCCCAUGCACCCCCAUCCCCAUGCAUUGCACCCCCAUGCAUCACCACCCCCAUGCAUUGCUCUCUGUGUGUGUCACAUCCCCAUGCAUCACUGUCUGCAUGCAUCGCAUCCCCAUGCACCCCCAUCCUCCUGCAUUGCAUCCCCAUGCAUCACAUCCCCAUGCAUUGCAGUGGAUGUGUGUCACAUCCCCAUGCAUCCCCAUCCCCAUGCAUUGCAUCCCCAUGCACCCCCAUCCCCAUGCAUUGCAUCCCCAUGCAUUGCUCUCUGUGUGUGUCACAUCCUCCUGCAUUGCACCCCCAUGCAUCACCAUCCGCAUGCAUCACAUCCCCAUGCACCCCCAUCCUCCUGCAUUGCAUCCCCAUGCAUCACAUCCCCAUGCAUUGCAGUGGGUGUGUGUCACAUCCCCAUGCACCCCCANCAUCCCCAUGCACCCCCAUCCUCCUGCAUUGCAUCCCCAUGCAUCACAUCCCCAUGCAUUGCAGUGGGUGUGUGUCACAUCCCCAUGCACCCCCACCCCCCCCCCCCCCCACCCCUCCCACCCCACAACCAUCGCACCCCACAACCAUCACACCCCACAACCAUCACACCCCACAACCAUCACACCCCACAACCAUCACACCCCACAACUCCCACCCCACAACCAUCACACCCCACAACCAUCACACCCCACAACCAUCACACCCCACAACCAUCACACCCCACAACCAUCACACCCCA
rnacentral:lncRNA from 1 species